rnacentral:rRNA from 1 species
UACGGGGGGGGCAAGCGUUGUUCGGAAUUACUGGGCGUAAAGGGUUCGUAGGUGGCUUGCUAAGUCAGACGUGAAAUCCCUCAGCUUAACUGGGGAACUGCGUCUGAUACUGGCGAGCUUGAGUGCAGGAGAGGAACGCAGAAUUCCAGGUGUAGCGGUGAAAUGCGUAGAUAUCUGGAGGAAUACCGGUGGCGAAGGCGGCAUCCUGGACCGAGAUUGACGCUGAACGACGAAAGCUAGGGGAGCAAACGGG